UACGAAGGGGGCUAGCGUUGCUCGGAAUCACUGGGCGUAAAGCGCACGUAGGCGGCUUACUAAGUCAGGGGUGAAAUCCUGGAGCUCAACUCCAGAACUGCCUUUGAUACUGGUGAGCUUGAGUCCGGAAGAGGUGAGUGGAACUGCGAGUGUAGAGGUGAAAUUCGUAGAUAUUCGCAAGAACACCAGUGGCGAAGGCGGCUCACUGGACCGGUACUGACGCUGAUGCGCGAAAGCGUGGGGAGCAAACGGG
rnacentral:rRNA from 1 species